ensembl:snRNA U6 U6 spliceosomal RNA
GUGCUCACUUCAGGAGCACAUAUACUAAAAUUGGAAUAUACAAAGAAUAUAAGCAUGGCCUCUGCUCAAGGACGACAUGAGGAGACUGUCAAAGAUUAAUUAACCAU